rnacentral:rRNA from 1 species
GGAUGCGAUCAUACCAGCACUAAAGCACCAGAUCCCAUCAGAACUCCAAAGUUAAGCGUGCUUGGGCGAGAGUAGUAAUAGGAUGGGUGACCUCCUGGGAAGUCCUUGUGUUGCAUUCC